CAGCGCCGCGGUAAUACGGAGGGUGCAAGCGUUAAUCGGAAUUACUGGGCGUAAAGCGCACGCAGGCGGUCUGUCAAGUCAGAUGUGAAAUCCCCGGGCUUAACCUGGGAACUGCAUUUGAAACUGGCAGGCUAGAGUCUUGUAGAGGGGGGUAGAAUUCCAGGUGUAGCGGUGAAAUGCGUAGAGAUCUGGAGGAAUACCGGUGGCGAAGGCGGCCCCCUGGACAAAGACUGACGCUCAGGUGCGAAAGCGUGGGGAGCAAACAGGAUUAGAUACCCGUGUAGUCCCUGUCUCUUAUACA
rnacentral:rRNA from 1 species